ensembl:lncRNA
CGCCCCGCCCCAGUGCCUUUCUUCCCAGAAGUGCAUGAUGACUCACCAAGUCAUGGACGGCACCUUUUACUGCCAGAAACCGGCCAGUGGGCUCCUCCUCCCUCACCACCCUCGAUGGCGGUGCAGCAAAGGGGUAUUCGGGAAUCCCGUCAGUGGAGCGGGCGGUAGCGAUGCAAUUGUGUCCUAAGUCCGCCUCCUCCUGGCGUGGAGACCCGGUGCUUCCUUCCCGGGCCUGUAGGCAUUCGUCUGGUCUGACCAGCAGUGCCUAUGUGGCUUGCGGGGAAGCUGCUUCCACCUUACACGCCAUGAGGUUACUGCAGGUGCACCAGGCUAAGGCACUGAAGGAGCUGCACGAGGGCGGUCACAAUCCAGAAGUUCUGAAAGAACUCCGAACCGCCACUGACCUCGCGCUCCGAGCGACGAAGGUCACCGCGAGUUCCCUAGGUCGUGCGAUGUCCACGCUUGUGGUCCAGGAGCGCCAUCUCUGGCUGUGUCUGGCAGACAUGAGGGACACCAACAAGGUCCAGUUCCUCAAUGCCCCUGUGUCCCAGACCGGCCUCUUCGGCGAUGUGGUUGAGAGCUUUGCCCAGCAGUUCUCGGCCGCCCAGAAGCAGACUGAGGUGAUCCGACACAUCCUGCCCCGGCGGGCAGCUGCUGCCUUCCACCCGUCCGACGGCCGCAGCGCCCCAGCCUGCUCGUCGCCGAGGGCGGGCCCCCAGCCUGGUCAGCGCUACCCAGCCUGUCUUGCUGGCUCCUGCAGACUCGGCUAUGCGAUUCAGUUCGCCCGGCAUCCCCCCAAGUUCAGCGGUAUCCGCUUCACUACAGUGAAAGCGUCCGAUGCCCCUGUUCUGCAGGAAGAGAUCGCAGUCCUACUGGCGAAGGACGCGAUAGAGCCGGUCCCACCAGCCGAUAUGAGGACGGGGUUUUACAGCCCUUACUUCAUUGUACCCAAGAAAGGCGGUGGGUUACGACCGAUCUUGGAUCUGCGAGCUUUGAACCGGGCCCUUCAUCGGCUACCGUUCAAGAUGUUGACGCAGAAACGCAUUUUCAACGUGGCGUCGAGAGUGACUGACUGAAAGGGAACGUCUUGGUUACGUACGGUA